rnacentral:rRNA from 2 species
UCGAGCGGAUCGAUGGGAGCUUGCUCCCUGAGAUCAGCGGCGGACGGGUGAGUAACACGUGGGUAACCUGCCUGUAAGACUGGGAUAACUCCGGGAAACCGGGGCUAAUACCGGAUAACACCUACCCCCGCAUGGGGGAAGGUUGAAAGGUGGCUUCGGCUAUCACUUACAGAUGGACCCGCGGCGCAUUAGCUAGUUGGUGAGGUAACGGCUCACCAAGGCGACGAUGCGUAGCCGACCUGAGAGGGUGAUCGGCCACACUGGGACUGAGACACGGCCCAGACUCCUACGGGAGGCAGCAGUAGGGAAUCUUCCGCAAUGGACGAAAGUCUGACGGAGCAACGCCGCGUGAGUGAAGAAGGUUUUCGGAUCGUAAAACUCUGUUGUUAGGGAAGAACAAGUGCCGUUCGAAUAGGGCGGCACCUUGACGGUACCUAACCAGAAAGCCACGGCUAACUACGUGCCAGCAGCCGCGGUAAUACGUAGGUGGCAAGCGUUGUCCGGAAUUAUUGGGCGUAAAGCGCGCGCAGGUGGUUUCUUAAGUCUGAUGUGAAAGCCCACGGCUCAACCGUGGAGGGUCAUUGGAAACUGGGGAACUUGAGUGCAGAAGAGGAAAGUGGAAUUCCAAGUGUAGCGGUGAAAUGCGUAGAUAUUUGGAGGAACACCAGUGGCGAAGGCGACUUUCUGGUCUGUAACUGACACUGAGGCGCGAAAGCGUGGGGAGCAAACAGGAUUAGAUACC